UUAAGGUGAAUUGACCUUAUAAGGUCAGGUCGAUGGACACAAGCUUCCAGGCUUCAGGGCUGGGACAUGGAUUGGAGCGACUGAGUUGCACAGCUUUAGCAUUCAACGUACCAGCACCCUGAUUUGACUUCGGAACACCAACCAUCUUCCACUCGGCGUCUGCUUUGGACGGAUCAUCUCCUCACCUUGACCCAGGCCCAGCCAACAACCAGAGGACAGAGAAAGAGCGAGUACAGGAGAGAAUCCGAUUGGCCCAGCCAGAGCCAAGAGCCCAGCUUGAGCCAAUCAGCACCCGCCUGAGAUAAGUACAGAGAGUGGUGAGUGAAUGGGCGGAAAACAAGGCUGGGUCAUGUGAUGUGAGAUUGAACCUCUGUGGCUCUCUCACACCAGCAGGUAGCUUUCGUGGGUAACCUCGGUCUCUUUUUUUUUGAGACAGAGUUUUUGCUCUUGUUACCCAGGCUGGAGUGCAAUGGCGUGAUCUCGGCUCACCGCAACCUCCGCCUCCUGGGUUCAGGCAAUUCUCCUGCCUCAGCCUCCUGAGUAGCUGAGAUUACAGGCACGCGCCACCAUGCCCAGCUAAUUUCUUGUAUUUUUAGUAAAAACGGGGUUUCACCAUGUUGACCAGGAUGGUCUCGGUCUCUUGACCUCGUGAUCCACCCGCCUCGGCCUCCCAAAGUGCUGGGAUUACAGGUGUGAGCCACCGCGCCCGACCCCCUG
rnacentral:lncRNA from 13 species